UGGGGAAUAUUGGACAAUGGGGGAAACCCUGAUCCAGCAAUGCCGCGUGUGUGAAGAAGGCCUUCGGGUUGUAAAGCACUUUUAUCGGGAACGAAACGUUGUCGGUUAAUACCCGGCAAAACUGACGGUACCCGAGGAAUAAGCACCGGCUAACUCCGUGCCCGCAGCCGCGGUAAUACGAAGGGGGCUAGCGUUGUUCGGAAUUACUGGGCGUAAAGCGCGCGCAGGCGGUUUACCAAGUCAGUGGUGAAAGCCCGGAGCUCAACUCCGGAACUGCCAUUGAAACUGUUGAACUUGAGGACGAGAGAGGUGAGUGGAAUUCCCAGUGUAGAGGUGAAAUUCGUAGAUAUUGGGAAGAACACCGGUGGCGAAGGCGGCUCACUGGCUCGUUUCUGACGCUCAGGCGCGAUAGCGUGGGGAUCAAAC
rnacentral:rRNA from 1 species